GUUCAUCUAGUUCAAGCUGUAGGCUAGUGCUCUCAGUCUUCCUCAGUCACAAACAAUGUUCCCCUACGUUGGAGUACUGCUAACAACCUUUAUAGGUUGCACCUCUGGAAGUCCAAUCGCUUCCAACGGUGCUGAGGUCUACACGGUGGAGGAUCUAACCAUAACCCUCUCCUGCAACUACUCCUCGGCUAACUUUCUAUUCUGGUAUCGCAAGUACCCAAGAUCAGAGCCCCAGUUUCUCAUGAGUGUAUAUAGUCCUGAUGAGGCUGUGAAGUCAACCACCGAUCCCCACUUGUCAGGGAUUCUGAACAAGGAGAAAAAUCAAAUCUUCCUGAACAUCAACUCUGCCAAACUCUCAGACUCUGCGGUGUAUUACUGCGCCAUGCAGCCCACAGUGAGCAAAACGGGUUCACUGUCAUACAAAAACCACAGUCUCACACAUGAGGAAGACAAGCUACUUUGUCAUUUCCUUUUGAAGAGAAUAAAACACAUUUGAAUGUGCUUGUUUUCUUGCUUGAUGCACUUGUUCAUACAAGUGAGUGAAUGAAUGCUAACUUAUUAUAAAUAACACAGUAUUGCCAAAGUGUUGAAUUGGCAUUUU